rnacentral:rRNA from 1 species
AUUGAACGCUGGCGGCAUGCCUUACACAUGCAAGUCGAACGGUAACGGGCCUUCGGGUGCCGAAGAGUGGCGAACGGGUGAGUAAUGAAUCGGAACGUACCUUUCAGUGGGGGAUAACGUAGCGAAAGUUACGAUAAUACCGCAUAUUCUGCGCGCAGGAAAGCAGGGGAUAGCAAGACCUUGCGCUGAUUGGGCGGACGAUGUCAGAUUAGCUAGUUGGUGAGGUAAAGGCUCACCAAGGCGACGACCUGUAGCGGGUCUGAGAGGAUGAUCCGCCACACUGUAACUGAGACACGGUCCAGACUCCUACGGGAGGCAGCAGUGGGGAAUUUUGGACAAGGGGGGCAACCCUGAUCCAGCCAUGCCGCGUGAGUGAAGAAGGCCUUCGGGUUGUAAAGCUCUUUCGGCCGGGAAGAAAUCGUAUGGGCUAAUACCCUGUGCGGAUGACGCUACCGGCAUAAGAAGCACCGGCUAACUACGUGCCAUCCGCCGCCGUAACAC